ensembl:lncRNA
ACAUUUCACCUCAUGGUGGAUCCCCUGAGGUACCCGAGAAGAUGAAAGAACUUGUUGAUGUCAAAAGGGGAAGUCCUGCUGUUCUCAUCUUCACUUGCACUGGUUGCGUGCUCAUCUGACCUCUGAGAAAAGUGGUUCAGCUUUUUGCCAGCAAAAUAACAUUCAGGAAAAAAAAAAAAAGUGACAAGCAGUGGAGCUGUCACAAGAGAAACAGGAGGAGUGCCUGGACUACAGGAUGAGGAAGAUGAGGCCCAGUAGGAAGCAGCAAGCUGUUAGAUGAACUCCAAGGUGUCAUGAAACUUCACGCUUCAAGACCUAGGUUAAAAUCUCUAUUUGAGCAAUUCAUUAUUUCAGGCACACAGGUACUUCUGUGGACAUGAAACAAAAGAAGGGAACUUCAUUUAAAUACAAGUUUAAAAACUGUCAUGAGGAACAAGGUUCUCAGAUUCCCCCUCUGCAGCUUGUGAAAUCAUUCAUCAACCUCUGUGCGCAGGGUUGGCAUUAAUGCCCCACAGGCGAAUGAAAUGCAGUGUUCCAAAACUUAUUUGCUAUGUGAUUUAUUUGCUACAUAAAUGUUUUUCAUUCUUCUCUACCUCGCAGCAAGCUAUUCACUGCAUUUUUUGAGGGGGAAAUAAAAAAAAGAAGUUAUAUACUACAUAGCGUCUUUUUUUUUUUUUUUUUUUUUUUUUUUUUUUUUUUUUUGAAAUUGAAGAGGAAAAGGCAUGUGGAGAGAGGGGAAAAGGAAGAUUUCACUCACUGCAAAUUUCUUGGACUGCUCUGAGCUCACCUGGAAAACAAAGAGACUGAAUUCUUCCUCUCGGUAGGCAACUUAUUUAUACUGCCCAUUGUCAUUUUCUAGGUAAUUACUUUCAUCAACAAUUCCUUAAUUAUGUUUCUUGCUUUCUAACCACUGCUUUUUGUAUAAAUAAUUAUGAAUUCAUGGAGACACAGAGAGAAAAUAUGCUAUCUUGCUGGUAAAGAUUCUCAAGAUGGGCUUUGGGACUUCUACAUCAACAAGUAUUUAAUUAAUUAUAAAAUAAAUAAAAUAAUUAACAAUGAU